rnacentral:rRNA from 1 species
CGGAGGAUCCAAGCGUUAUCCGGAAUCAUUGGGUUUAAAGGGUCCGUAGGCGGGCCUGUAAGUCAGUGGUGAAAUCUUUCGGCUCAACCGGAAAAUUGCCAUUGAUACUGCAGGCCUUGAAUUAUUGGGAAGUAACUAGAAUAUGUAGUGUAGCGGUGAAAUGCUUAGAUAUUACAUGGAAUACCGAUUGCGAAGGCAGGUUACUACCAAUACAUUGACGCUGAUGGACGAAAGCGUGGGGAGCGAACAGGAUUAGAUACCCUGGUAGUCCACGCCGUAAACGAUGGAUACUAGCUGUUGGGCGCAAGCUCAGUGGCUAAGCGAAAGUGAUAAAUAUCCCACCUGGGGAGUACGAACGCAAGUUUG